rnacentral:rRNA from 1 species
AUUGAACGCUGGCGGCAUGCCUUACACAUGCAAGUCGAACGAUAACAGGUCUUCGGAUGCUGACGAGUGGCGAACGGGUGAGUAAUACAUCGGAACGUGCCCGAUCGUGGGGGAUAACGAAGCGAAAGCUUUGCUAAUACCGCAUACGAUCUACGGAUGAAAGCAGGGGACCGCAAGGCCUUGCGCGAACGGAGCGGCCGAUGGCAGAUUAGGUAGUUGGGGGGAUAAAAGCUUACCAAGCCGACGAUCUGUAGCUGGUCUGAGAGGACGACCAGACAGACUGGGACAGAGACACGGCCCAGACUCCUACGGGAGGCAGCAGUGGGGAAUUUUGGACAAUGGGCGAAAGCGUGAUCCAGCCAUGCCGCGUGCAGGAUGAAGGCCUUCGGGUUGUAAACUGCUUUUGUACGGAACGAAAAGACUCUGGUUAAUACCUGGGGUCCAUGACGGUACCGUAAGAAUAAGCACCGGCUAACUACGUGCCAGCAGCCGCCGUAA